ACUUGGGGGAAUGGAUAUAUAUAUUAGAAAUAAUAUAUAGUACCGACUCUGUCGGAUAAAGUUCUAGAUAGAAUAAUGAUAAUGACAAUUUUCUAUCUAUAUGUCUUGACCAAAUCUUGUGCCAGCAGUCGCGGCAACACAAGGGAGACUGGUGUUAUUCAUCUUUAUUAGGUUUAAAGGGUACCUAGACGGUAUAUCAUGCCCCAAAAGGGAACGGAUAUACUAGAGUUUUAUGUGAGAGGUAAAUAUAGUACUAUUGGUGUAGAGAUAAUAUUCAUUGAUACCUCUAGGCACGGGUAACGGCGAAGGCAAUCCUCUAUGUAAAAACUGACGUUGAGGGACGAAGGCUCGGGUAACGAAUAGGAUUAGAUACCCUAAUAGUCCGGGCAGACAAUUAUGAAUGUCAUAGAUUAGAAGUUUUUUUGGUCUAUAAAUGAAAGUGUAAGCAUUCCACCUCAAGAGUAAGGCGGCAACGUUGGAACUGAAACCAU
rnacentral:rRNA from 1 species